CUUUGCAAACCCAAAAAUGCAUGAAUACAUGUUAUUAAUCACUGCAAUAAAUAAAUACAUACAAUAUCCAUUUACUAAUAGUUGCACAAAUAUAUCCUCAGCCAUUAAAAUGUGCGUCUCCAGUCCAACAUUUCAUAGCGAUUGUUGGUUUUAUUGAUGACUUGCUAUAUAAAGCUGUCAUGGAGCAACAUUCUUAUUAGGCUCAGACAGCCACUGUAUGAUUGGAGUUAUAUUCCUUAUACACUGUAUAUUUUAUCUCCUACUACCAAAAGCAAAUGUUGCAC